UACGAAGGGGGCGAGCGUUGUUCGGAAUUACUGGGCGUAAAGGGCGCGUAGGCGGCCCUCGUAGUCAGGCGUGAAAGCCCCGGGCUCAACCUGGGAAUUGCGCUUGAUACUGGGGGGCUGGAGUUCGGGAGAGGAGAGUGGAAUUCCCAGUGUAGAGGUGAAAUUCGUAGAUAUUGGGAAGAACACCGGUGGCGAAGGCGGCUCUCUGGACCGAUACUGACGCUGAGGCGCGAAAGCGUGGGGAGCAAACAGG
rnacentral:rRNA from 1 species